rnacentral:rRNA from 1 species
UGGGGAAUAUUGCACAAUGGGGGAAACCCUGAUGCAGCGACGCCGCGUGAGUGAAGAAGUAUUUCGGUAUGUAAAGCUCUAUCAGCAGGGAAGAAAAUGACGGUACCUGACUAAGAAGCCCCGGCUAACUACGUGCCAGCAGCCGCGGUAAUACGUAGGGGGCAAGCGUUAUCCGGAUUUACUGGGUGUAAAGGGAGCGUAGACGGCAUUGCAAGUCUGAUGUGAAAAGGCGGGGGCUCAACUCCUGGACUGCAUUUGGAAAACUGUAGUGCUUGAGUGCCGGAGAGGUAAGCGGAAUUCCUAGUGUAGCGGUGAAAUGCGUAGAUAUUAGGAGGAACACCAGUGGCGAAGGCGGCUUACUGGACGGUAACUGACGUUGAGGCUCGAAAAGCGUGGGGAGCAAAACAGGAUUAGAUACC